AUGGCUCCGCUUCCUCUCCCCCUUCCCGCCACUCCCUACCCACCCAAACCCCACGAGUCCCCGCGGGCCGCCCCUCUCCAUGCCGCGCUCGCCUCCCUCUCCCAGCAAGGCAGCGACCACGGCAGCCUCCGCGACGCCUUCGCCCUCGUCUCCCGCGCCGAGCGCCAGUCGAGCCCCGUCGGCCCGGAGGUGUACGUGUCCCUCCUGCAGUGCUGCGUCGCCGCGGGGUCCCUCCGCGCGGGACGCCAGGUGCACGCUGCCGCCGUCAAGCGCGGGCCCUACUACUGCCGCCACGCCUACAUCGGCACCAAGCUCGCGGUCUUCUACGCCCGAUGCGGCGCGCUGGCGGACGCCGAGCGCGUGUUCGACGCGCUACCCAAAAAGAACGCCUUCGCCUGGGCCUCCGUCAUCGGAUUAUGGAGCCGCGCCGGGUUGCACGCCAGGGCCCUCGACGGGUACAUCGACAUGCUGCAGGCGGGCGUCCCCGCGGACAACUUCGUCGUGCCCAACGUGCUGAAGGCAUGCGCCGGGAUCGGGAUGGUCGGGACCGGGAGGGCGCUGCACGGGUACGCCUGGAAGGCGGGGUUCAGGGAAUGCGUAUACGUGUUGAGCAGCCUGGUGGACUUCUACGGGAAGUGCGGCGAGGUGGAUGAUGCGAGGGAGGUGUUUGAUGCAAUGCCGGAGACCACCGUGGUGACCUGGAACUCCAUGUUGAUGGGGUAUAUAAACGAUGGGAGAAUCGAUGAUGCUGUGGAAUUGUUCUAUCAGAUGAGGGUUGAAGGCGUGCUGCCGACGAGGGCGAGCAUUCUUAGCCUUCUGUCUGCAUCGGCCGAUUUUGAAUCUCCUGAUUGGGGUAGGCAGGGCCAUGCCGUGGCCGUAUCGAGUGGCUUGGCGAUGGAUGUCAUUUUGGGGAGCUCAAUCAUCAACUUUUACUGUAAGGUUGGGCUGGUCGAGGCUGCGGAGGCCGUGUUUGAGCAGAUGGUUGAAAGAGACGCCGUUACAUGGAAUUUGAUGAUUGCUGGGUAUUUGCAGGAUGGGCAGACCGACAAGGCUUUGAUCACUUGUCGAAAAAUGCUCCAUUCUGGCCUCAGGUUUGAUUGUGUGACGUUGGCGUCCAUUAUCAUGGCUUGCAUGACAUCCUGUGGUAUGGAGAUGGGCAGAGUUGCUCACGGCUAUGCAGUUAGAAACAACCUUGAAUCAGACCAAGCGGUUGCUUGUGGCCUGAUAGAGUUAUAUAUGAGUAGUGAAAGGACUGAACAUGCACGCCGGCUGUUCGAUGUCAUGAGUUGCAGAGACAUGGUCAUGUGCAGAGUGAUGAUUUCUGCUUAUGCAGAUCGUGGGAUGAGUUCUCAGGCUCUUAAGGUUUUAUAUCAGAUGCAGCAUGAGGGCAUAUCUCCAAGUGCAGCGUGCUGGGAUUCGGUCAUUUCAGCUUUUAUGAAGAAUGAGCAGAUUAAUGAGGCCCUAGAGAUCUUCAAUGAGAUGCUACUAACAAAAACACGCCCAAAUCUACGCACAUGGAGCCUGUUAAUAACUGGCUUGUCUCGAAAUGGUAUGCACUGCGAGGUAAUGAAUCUAUGCUGCAAGAUGCAAGAAGUAGAGCCAGCACCAAGUCCAACAAUUUUCUCCGCAGCACUUGUUGCCAUGAAGGCUGCAGCCUCAGUACAAUAUGGAAAGGCAAUGCAUGCGUGCAUUGUAAAGAAGGGCCUAUUGUUGUCCAAAUCCGUGAUACAGUCCCUGCUAAACAUGUAUGGCAGUUUCAGUGACACAGGCACGGUAGAAAGUUUACUAGGCUUGCUUGCUGCUGCACAGUAAAUAACGCAGCUGCACAUAGUUACAUUACAUAGCGUUUGCACAUAUAUCAACUUGCUCAUAUUCAUCAUCAGAUGGCUAUUCUUGGAUCAGAAGGUUCCAAUCAGAAAAUGAGCGAGUACAUAGUGCUACUGUUGGCAAAAAGUGUACAGUUUGGGUUUCUGUAACCAGGGAUUGCACGCCGAGAGACAUGUUACAUCUCUGGUGUCUCCCAGUUUGCUCUUUUUUGUGUAUUAGAAUGUUUGAGUCUCUGGCCCUUUUGGGGAUUUGUGAGAAGACACAACAUGGUCUAGAUUUGCUGGGCGGAUUACUUAUACUGAAGGAUAACUGCAAACUAAUCUAAAGAAGACGGGGACAAACAAAUGAUCAGUUUAUCCUUGGCAACUUACCUGAUCGACGCCACAUGAUUAGGCUGCCAACUCUCAUCCAUCGACAAGGCAUGAUGCUCCUACACAAUCCAAGGCGCGACAAUGGCGGAAAGGCGGGGGCGACGCGAUCCGGCUUUAGCAAGGCAGCCACGUGGGAAGUGGGCACGCUCGCUUCAUGGCACAACGAAUGAUGGAAGGAGGGGAGCCACCAUGUGUCUUCACCAAAAUUUCCAUCGACCGCCUUUCUCUUCAAUUCCCGACCUAUCUUGGAGCGAUCGAUUAGUCUCUGCUUUGAUGCGAUUCUGUUCUGUUCUGCUGCCGGGGAGAGCGUUGGCUUUUUCUUUUCUUUUUUCUUUUUAGAAAACGUUGGCUGGUUUUUUUAUUAGCACACUGCACUACCUUUUAUUUU